CUCCCUCCUUCCCUCCCCCCCUCCUUUCUUCCCUCUCUCCCUCCCUCCCUCUCUCCCUCCCUCCGCAGGCGGCUGCGAGCCCGGAUGGUUUGCGAGCGGAGUUGAGGGGGCAAACUUUGCAGCCCAGAUGCCUCUGGGGCUGCGCGGCAGAGCGCGGCUGCUCCUGCAGGCACCUGCCGCCGCCCUCGCCCCGGCGCUGCCGCCCUCCGCGGGGGCGGCCGGCCCCGCUGCCGGCGGCCGCCGAGGCGGCGGGCGCUGCGGCCGCGGCUAGGGCGGGCGGCGAGCGGCGGGCGCGCCCCCAUGCGGGUCCCGGGCCGGGGCGCGCCGGCGGCGGCAGGCGGGAGCCGGGCGGCGGCCGGGCGGUGCUGCGCGGCCGCCUGAGCGGGCGCAGCGCGGGACGGCGGCGCGGGGUGCCGGGAGCCAUGGGCUAUUGCAGCGGGCGGUGCACGCUGGUGGCGGUGUGCGGCGCGCAGCUGGUUUCUGUGCUCGAGAGACAGAUAUUUGACUUCCUUGGUUAUCAGUGGGCACCCAUCCUGGCAAAUUUUAUACACAUUAUUAUAGUCAUACUUGGCUUAUUUGGAACCAUCCAGUAUAGACCUCGUUACAUAACAGGAUACGCUGUCUGGCUAGUCCUCUGGGUUACAUGGAACGUGUUUGUUAUCUGCUUCUAUUUGGAGGCUGGGGACCUUUCAAAGGAAACAGAUCUCAUUCUGACCUUUAAUAUCUCAAUGCAUCGUUCUUGGUGGAUGGAGAACGGACCAGGCUGCACCGUGACCUCAGUAACCCCAGCCCCAGACUGGGCACCAGAGGAUCAUCGUUAUAUCACUGUCUCGGGGUGUUUUCUUGAAUACCAGUACAUAGAAGUGGCUCACAGUUCUCUUCAGAUCUUCCUUGCACUGGCGGGCUUCAUCUAUGCCUGUUAUGUUGUGAAAUGUAUUACUGAAGAAGAGGACAGCUUUGAUUUUAUAGGUGGAUUUGACUCUUACGGCUAUCAAGGCCCACAGAAGACAUCUCAUUUACAGCUACAGCCCAUGUAUAUUGCCAACAGUGUGCUCUGUGCUGUACAAGCCAAGAAGCCUAGACAGUCCCUUCAGAACGAAUACGCAUUCUAGACAGAAGGGGACAGAACCGCUGCUCGUGUGCCUCCUCGCAGCGUGCCACGGCUGAUGUCCAGAACAGCAGCUUGUUGGCAUUCUGCGUUGAAGAUGCCAGUGCUCAUUUCCAGACAAUGGGACAAGAACACAAGGACAAUUGUCAAGAGACCUCUUGGGAGGUGACUGAGGAAGGUCAAAGUAAACAUGGGGACUGCUCAACAGGGGCUGGAGGACCUGUCUAAGAAACUGUUUCGGGAUGGCCCCCCCAAAUUCUACAAAGAGCAAAAAAAUCCAGUUUUUGUGUUUAAAGAAAAAAAAAGGCUGAUUGAACAGUGAGACAAAAAACAACAGGCACGGUCAGCCCCUCUUUCUACCAGGUACAGAGGGAGAUGCCCAGGACCUACACCUUGGACCUCCUGCCUCUCAGCAUCCCACUACCAGGUGCCAGAGAGUCAGAGCAGAGGCAUUGGUGACGUCUUCAGGUUCUUCCCUACCCUGGCCACCACCAGUCCUGCCCAUCUGGAUUAAGACAUGAACCCACCCAAUUCGGUGCUUUUGGAGCCCCUUCACACUCCUGGCCGCAUCAAGUCUCCCUAGUCAACAUAAUACUAAAAAUACCAGGAUGACCUUGCGACGGAAGUCACUCGACAGCGCGUUGUUUGCCCUGAAGGCUGUACAGUUCAUACUUGCCUUAACCCAACUGCACUGCACAUCAGAGAAACUCAGUGCAAGCUUUCUGAAGUAACGUCCUUUAGGCUCAACAUGCUGCUGUUAAUUCUGAAUGAUUUCUAAGUCAGUGGUUUUCUUUGUUUUGUUCUGUUUUGUUUUCAUGUCAGGGAAUAAGGCUCUGUUGCUCCUCGGCUCCAGAGCAACUGAGUAGAAAACUGCCAGCUGUCAGAAAAGUGCUUUACUUUUGAGGCUCCACAGUGGUCAAGGUACAAACAGUUUAUAAUGAUAAAAAAAAAGAAAAAGAAAUUAGAUCUUUUGGGGGGCGGGGUGGGGAAAGGGGUAACAAACUAAUAAUUGAACCUACUGGAAAUAAACAGCAGAAACAGUGCUUCUUAAUCCCGCUGUUUUUAUUUAUGGCACUGUAGGUGCUUUUAUAGGUAUCUCUAAAUGUCUUUUACUAACUACAGAGACAUCUGCAGAUUUCUAUCAACAAAGGCCAACUGAAUAUGUACUAGCUACGUUUACUCUUUUAUAUCUAAUUUCAACUGAAAAUUCUCUGUAAAAGUGAGCUUUUUUUUCUAAUUGCACCACAAGGGAACCAUAUAUUUUAUUUUUCAUUUUGGUUGGGGGAGGGUGGGGAGGGACUAGUUGAGUUGAUGAAGUAUUGGAGACCUUUUUGUGGUAUAUUUGGGGGAUCUGUUGUGUGUUAGAAUGUGUAUUUUAUCUUCCUGUAUUAUUGUGGCUGAAAAAAAACUGUGCUGUUACGUAGUUGGCAACAAAAUGCCUUUGGGAAUUUUGCUAGUAGGUCAAUGUGUACAUGAAAUACUCUGAACUCCUAGGAACAUAUGUUUUGUUCUAAAUUUGAUCUGUAUUUUCAAGCACUUAGGUGGCUUUCAUUAGGAGGAAAAAAUAUUUUUCUCAGCCUUUUCAGGAACUUGGAUCAUUGUUGUUUCUUUACUCAGAACCAGCACAAACACAUGCGCCUAUCACACUUUAGGUCACCACAUAGCUUUUGAGGGUGAGAGGGAGGUUGAGUGCUUGGAAAGGCUCGAGCUGCCCCCAAGCAACUGUUUUCCUUGCUCACCAAACCUUCAUGUCCCUGUGGCUUCUGAGUUCCCAGGACCUGUGCGCUAGCUCCACUUAUCCAUCCCUAUACAAACCAAUGCCCUUUGCUGUGUUUGCAUGGAUGUAAUGUGUCACAAACAGUAACUCUGGACAAUGACAGAGGAAUAGGCAUUCGCCACUGAAAAUAAGAUAUGGGACAUGUUCAGGAUCUAUAUUUACAUUUAUUCAGUGAGAUUUAUAUCUAUAUAUACAUGUAUGUGUGUAUGUGUAUGUAUAUAUAAUACACAGGAAAAACUAGUAAUAGAGUCUGCAUAACCCAAGAAAUAAAUGACUUGAGCAUAGAGCCAAGGAUUCCAAUCCCAAAUCCAGCUAAUGAUUUCCUACAUGAAUUAGGCAAGUCAGUUUGGCCUCAUCCAGUAAAGCAUUCUUGGCUGAUUUGGAUCCCAAAUUCAAAUUUUCAAACAUGGGUACCCGAAAUUAGAUGUCUCUGUUGAUUCUUGGUAGAGCUGCUUUUCACUCCUGGAACUCCAAGUGCCAGGCUGAUAUUUCCCAUAACCUGAAAAUUUUUGAAAGUUUCUACUUAAGCAUAGCAGAUAUAUAAUAUUAAAUGUCAUGUGAAAGUUUAAAUGUGAUGAACAUGUCAUAUCAGGGUAUUUCAGCUUUCCCUGUACAAAUGUUAAUCGAAAUUGUAUUUCUAUAAAAAUGAUUUUCUAGCAUAAAAAAGAAAACAGUUUAGGCACUUAAACAGUGAUCCAGUUUUCAAAGCUGUUUUCUCAUACCUUUCAGUGUUUUCUCUCAAAAUGGCAUCUACUGGUACUUAGUAAUAUUGGAAGUCAGACAAUUUACUGAAGUGUCUAUACAUAGUUUUUAGGUCUAACUAAUUUACAAAAGUUUGGCCUUAAUUUCUCUGUACCUUAGUCUCCCCAUCUAUAAAAUGGGGAUAAUAUAUGCCUCACCAGCUUUUUGUGAGGUUUGAAUUGUCAAUGUUUGUACAGUGCUUAGGAAAUAGGAAGCACAUAUAACUAUUAAGUAUUACAAUGAUAAAUGUGUAUUCAUAUAUUACAUAUAGAAUAGAUAUACACACAUUCACAUGCACACUGUAUGUAUAUAUUUAUAUAUACACACAUAUAUGAAGUUGGUUUUCAUAACCCUGCUUGAGUUGCAGUUAAAGCACCACCAUUAAAAAGAACUUAGGACUGUUGAGUACUAAACUAAGUGAUCAGUGGACAGAUCUCUUCUGGAAGCAGUUUAGAGCACAGUAGUGUGAGAAUAUCUGGAUGACAUUUUUGAUUUGUACAGCUGUAUCCUCCUCAAAAUCCAGUAAAGAAUGUUAUUUUUCUAGGCUGGCUUUUGUUAUAAACUUAAAUAUUCAGAAAGCAAGAGAUACAAUCCAAAUGUGUCUUUUUUUCUUUUCUUUUUGCAUUUGUUAAUUCUGAAUGUAUUUUUAACAAAAGUGAUUUUUUUGACUAGUGUAAUUUGCAUUUAAAAAAUAAAUGGAAAAAUAUAGGUUUCCAAGCUA